rnacentral:sRNA from 1 species
AUCUAAACGGGAUUGAAGCGGCAUCCUCCCGAUCCCGAUUCUUCAUCGGAUUGGGAGAUAUAGCGAAAAGCCUGACUGACA